UACGAAGGGGGCUAGCGUUGCUCGGAAUUACUGGGCGUAAAGCGCACGUAGGCGGCUUUCUAAGUCGGGGGUGAAAUCCUGGAGCUCAACUCCAGAACUGCCUUCGAUACUGGAGAGCUCGAGUCCGGGAGAGGUGAGUGGAACUGCGAGUGUAGAGGUGAAAUACUUAGAUAUGUCAUAGAACACCGAUGGCGAAGGCAGCUAACGAAGCUGUAACUGACACUGAGGCUCGAAAGUGCGGGGAGCAAACAGG
rnacentral:rRNA from 1 species